CUUCCGGAAGUCAGGGCCGCGGCGCUUCUGGUCCCGGAGACUUGGGGCUCCCGGGCUUCUGAGCGGCUCGGGUUCCGCGCUGCCGGCAGGGCUUGGGGGCGCCUUAGAGCCGAACCCCGUUUUUUCAGGAAAGGGCGCUGCGACCACCCCCGUCCCGGGCCUCAGCCCCUCUGCUGCAGACCCUCGGGAUCGUCGCUGGUAGGAGCUCUGUCCCCCGUGUCUGUGUCCAGGACCCCCGAAGCGCCGCGCCUAGGAACCCCCUAGCGCUGGGAGCCCGGCCCUGCUCGACCACGGGCUUUGGGCUGGAGGCGUCAUCGUCGCCACAGCGAACGCUUAUUUGGCACCGAGUGUCCGCCAGGCAUCGCUCUAAGCGCUUUAUACCCAUAACUCACUUCAUCUCAGCCACCCGGUUCCGUAGAAGCGUUUCAUCCGCGUUUUACAGACGUGUGCAGGAAAGAUUCUGAAGCUUGGCGGAGAGGGGUGUGUGAGUGGACACCAGUGAAGUAACGGUUUUUGUGUUACGAUGAUUUCUGUUUUCCUCUGCUGCCCUGUAAUGGCAGGAACUCGGAUAGUCUGGUCUUCAGACCAGGAGGACUCCCAGGAGAGAACGGAGAGCCAGUGUGCUGUGUGUCACGGUCCCUGGAUGAACGUUUGUGGAACUGGAUUGAAUUAAACAAGACGUGCAAAGCAAGUGGUUCACGAGAUAUUUACGGAGCAUCCCCAGCUGCUGGAUGCUGGGACCCACCAGUGGGCAAGAGGGCCGUGCCCACCCCUUCCUGGAAGAGACACUCACUCAGUAAAUGCAGAGAUUCAGUGUUGGGGUAACCCCAGCACACAGCCCUGAGGGAGGAAGCCCAGUGAUUUGAUCGGAUUUGCUUUUCUCUUCUGCCUCGGAUUCUGUCCAACCCCUGGAAGGACCUCUGAGGUGUCCCGUGGCUGGUUCUAGGCCCCAUUCAAGCCUCCUCCUCCAGGAAGCCUUCCCAGUCCUGGGCAUCUGUAGCCAGCUCGGUGUUUCUCACCUGGGGCCUGGGACGUCUCCCAUUCUGAACUGCCGUGUUUUGGGUUUACUGUUCUCUGGCUUUUGGUCCCAGCCGGACGGUGGCCUCUUGUGUUCAGGGACAAGGCAAGGAGCAUCCAUGCACCCCCACAGUACCCAGGCUGGGUCUGUGCCCGCCAGGCCCCCGGCAAAGCUUGGAUGAUCCGGGCUGGGCUGUUCUCCUGCUGCUCUCCUGCUGCUGGCCUCGCUGUAUCAGCUGAUGGCCAUCGCGCCUCCUGCACCCGUCAUCCCGCCCUGCACGCCCCCGCCACGUGGAUGAGCUCCCUGGGGAGUUAAUGGCUAAUGGAGUCUCCGCUCUCUCUUGUCAAAUGCAGCCAUCAUCCGCUGGUGCUUUAAGGGACUCUCUCCCGUCCCCACCCUAUUCUCAGGUGGCUCCUACCGACACCACCUAAUGGUGAACCCCAACACGAGGACACAGGCAGUGCCCUCUCAGGACCACUGUGGGUGCCACCAGGCACGACUUCCUAAACACCCACAGAGCAAAAACCUGGAAAUUCAGCCGAGGCACUGGGACCCCAACCUCUCCCAGAGUGGCCCCAGCUCCACGGCGUCUGCAUGGCUCUGGCCGUGAGCAGAGCAGCCCCGACCUCCGUCCUGACCCAGGGCGCCGGAGCGCCACUGCGGAUCUCACCACCACACAAGCCAGACCUGCUAGGAAGCCCUUCCCGGCCACCAGCUCUCGGGCGAUGCACACAACAGGGCCUUUUGAAUUCCCUGAGGUUAAGGUUCCCCUUGAGUCUCCUGGGCUACAAGCAAAUCCCCCGAGGGGAGAAGUCCAGGCUGACACAGCCUCCUGCACCCCUGCCUUGGGAGGCCACACCUCGUUUGCCUCUAGAACCGACGACUGGGGAGCACUGUUUGCAGAGUUCUCUCUCUCUGGGUAAGUUCCGGAGCCACAUCUCACUGGAUCCACCACGGCCUGGGUGGACGGCUCUCGUGUGUUUAUAGCUGGGUCCCUCGCUUGGGAGCUGCCUCCGGGUGGGCGGCCUCUCCAGCCUGUUUGAGUGCUCCACCCGGAGCAGGAAGAGGGCCGUGUGCUCUGGGCAGUGGUUCCUUGGGCACUGCAUGGUCCUUGCUUCCCUCCAGGGCCCACCUUCCCUGGCCGCUGCAUCCCAGCCGAGGGCAGGCCCCUUUUGCCAGCUGAAGGCAGAAAGGCCGGCAGCCCUGGGGUGGCGGCGGGCAGAGAAACCCCCCGGAGUGGUCUCCGUUCUUCUAAAAGUGAUGUUGACCCCCGUGUCGCAGGCAGCUGGCAGGGUGGCAGUUCGAUCUGUCGUUACGGGCUUGCACCACUGCGGUCUCCCACCCAGGGAGCAGCUCUGUCCAACCACAGCGAGCCUCCAGCUCCUACCCUCUGCCUGGGCUGGGGCAGAGCCUGGGGUCUGGGUGGGAGAAGCGUGACUCUGGGAUGAGACCUUACAAAGCAGGUUCCUCCUGGGAGUCAGCCCGGGUCUAAACGCAGCUGGGCAUGAAGGGGUGCCAUCGGAUGUCGAGUUAGGAGGACGAGAGACCUCCAGCCCCGGCACCCGCAUGUCUCUUUGGAAACCAGCUUUGGCUGCGCCCCUGGGGACACUGUCUGCCGUGGCCUCCCGCUCUCCUCCCCGGCACAGGCAGGGGGUCUCCCUCCUCCACCGCCACUCCCUUGGCCUCGCCCUCCCCGCCAGGCACCUGGCUUUUCCCCACCGACCCCCCCGGGGGACUGCGGCCCCCAGAAAGGCUGCACUCUGGGAGCAAAGUGGCCUGAAACCAGAGAAAAGAACGCCGGGGGAUUUGGCUUAAACUCGUUAAACCCAAUGAACCCUCUUGCCGAACGAUCGCAGUCUGCGCCCGGUCUUUUAAUCUCGUUCGGGCCUCGGGGUAAUUUGUUUAGCUGUGCUGAUCAGCUGAAGGUUAAUUCAAUUGGACUUGGGUUAUUUAUUUGUGCCCGGAUUUGCUAAGUGUCAUUGGAGGUACAUGAGGUCUUUAUUAUGGCGGCAAGAUGGCUUCAUUAGGGUGAGGGCCACUCCCUCCGGAUCCGCCCCCUCCCGCCAGCUCCAGGCUGAGGCAGUCUUGGGAGGCUGGAGCCCUGGGAGGCUGGAGCCCCAGGUGCAGUGGCUCUUGUUCCUGGAUGCAGGGGAUAUCUGAGCACUGUGCUGGGAGUCCAGCCUCGCCCAGCUCUGGUGUUGAUACUGGACGGUUCUGUCACAUGACCUAUCCUAACCGAGGCUGAAGGACCUGCUUCCCAGGACCCGUCCCCUCCCUCAGGGGGACCUAAAGGCGUUUUCCCCACCCUGCCUCAGUGUUCCCAUUCACACAUUGGGAACAGCACCCUGUUCUCCUGCGGCCUCCCAGGCUGGGCUUUGUAGCUGCAGCCCCCACCCCGCCUGGCGACCGGGGCAGAAGGACGCUGAGGUCGCAGAGCGGGCAGACGGGUUGGCCGGGCGGGCAGACCUCCUGCACGGAGCCGGGAUCCUUCUCAGGCAGCGGCAGAUGAUGGAUUGCACGUGGACACUGCCUGGGAUGCGUGCGACUUGGCAGCCUGCCCCUUUCCUGCCCUGGGAUCAGACGCCCUGGCGGGUGUCCUUUUCCUGGUCCCCUGUCCUCCUAGCCUGGGGCGGCGUCUGGAGCGGGGAGGCUCACCCCUGUGCCCACGUCCUCAGGCCACCUGCCAGUCCCUGCCCACCCCGGCCGCGGAGGGGCUGUGGAGACUCAGGGAGUUCUGGGAUGGCACAGAGGGCCCAGGCUGGUAGCAACCAAAGCCGUGGGAAAUGUGGGAGGGAUGGCAGGUGUCCCCCGAGGAGUAGCCCAGGUGCCCCGGAGGCUGCUGAGAGGGUUGAGAGUGCAGAGACGAGGGGCCCAGGGAAGUCUUGGAUUCUCUCGCCAUCUUCAAUGUCGGAGCCCAGACGGGGCAAGGCGAGGAGGAGCCCGGGGCGAAGACGCCACCCACAUUCCUCCUUCCCGCAGGCUUCUUCUCCUUCUAGCCCUUCCAGGAGAGAAACCAUCCCACAAGUCCAGAGUAGUGGCGUCCCCGGGGCCAUGUCUCCUGAGCAAACACUGUUUUCUAGGAGUCCGAGGGGCCUCAGCCAUCUAGGUCAAUCCCUUUGCAGAACGGUGAAGGAAUCUGAAGCCCAGAGAGGGAAAACAAUGCCUCCUGGGUCACACAGCCCAUCAGGGGCAGGGCAGGGACGAACGGCGAGAAAAGGACCAGCGCGAGAGGAGAUCCCCAGCAGUGAUUCCUCAGCCAAGCCCAGCGUCUACCCACAUCCACACCUCACAGCCACCUGAUGGGGAAGGCACCAUUGCCCCUUUUCAAAGGUGAGAAAACAGAGGCUCAGAGAGGUUCAGCAACUUCUCCCACAGCUACUUCGUUGUAGAACUGCAGUUCCAGGUGUCCCCGAGCUCUCCCUUCCCGAGCCAUCUGCUCCUGCCCUCCUAUCCGAGCCCUGGCCCUCCCAGUCAAAGCCGGGUAGUGGCUGUUCAGAAGCCUUGGGGCUAGUCAAUCCCAGCUGUCUCGGACCAGGGCCCCCCCCAGGAGGAGACCCUGAAGGAUGCAGUUGAGAAUAUGUGCUUUCUUUGGUAGGUGAUCUCAGGAAUUGCAGGGGAAAGAGGGGGAGCGUGUUAGUGUAGGCUCUCCGGAGAAGCAGAACCAACGCACAGAGGAGAUUUAGGAUGAGGAAUCUGGUUUAUGUGACUCUGGGGGCUGAGAAGGCCCACCAUCUGUGUUGCAAGCUGGAAACCCAGGGAAGCCUGAGGUGUGAUUCAAACUCAGCUCAGGUCUGGAGGCCUGAGAACCAGGGCAGCCGAUGGUGGACAUCCAGUCCAGGGGCAAGAGAUGACGAGAUGUCCCGGCUCCAGUGGCGAGGCAGGAAAUGAGGGGUGAACUCCUCCUCCCUCUGCUGUCUGUUCUAUUCAAGUUCUUGAGGGAUUGGAUUAUGCCCAGCCACUUGGGGAGGGCAGUCCACCUUCCUGAGUCCACAAUUCAAAUGCUGAUCUAAUCCAGAAACACUCUCACAGACACAGUGUGUAGUCUGGGCACCCCACAGUGCACUUAAGUGGACACAUAAAAUUAACCAUCCCAGGGAGUGAGAUGGGUAAGGGAAGAUGGGCCACAGUGGGUGUGUCUCCAUGCCUACCCCCACUGUGGGCAGCUGCUGGAGCACACGCCUCAAAGUCUUCCCUGAGGGAGAGGGAGCUGAGGUGUUUAUAUCCCAGCUCUGUCAGGCAUUGGCUGAAUGUCCACACUCCUGGAUCACCGCCUCUCAUCCUCAUGAUGUCCCAUGGUCCUCAUUUCACAAGUGAGCUCUGGGUACAUGGGGAGCAUCAGUCACACCCUGGGUCAGUACCUCAGCUGUCUCUCACAUGACAUCCUCAUUAUCCACACUGCAAAGCCAACCAUCCCUAUGAUGGGUUCAUUGUGGAUCAUGACUUAGUGGGUCAAGAGUUUGGAAGUGGCUCAGCUGGGCGGUUCUUCUGCUCCAUGUGGCUGCCAGAUGGUACCCUGCUGGUGGGCAGUCUGGUCUAGAGGGUCCAUGAUGGCUUUACUCACAUGCCUGGCAUCUUGACAGGGACAGCUGGAAGGCAAGGUUCAGCUGGGACUGUCCACAGAGCUCCUCCCUGUGGCCUUUCCAGCAUGGUGGUCUCAGGGUAGCUGGACUUCCUGCAUGACAGCUCAGGGCUCCCAGAGCUACUGUCCCAAGAGAUAGAAGGUGGAAACUGCCAGUCUCUUAGGCUAGGACCAGAAACCAGCACCCCUGCACCCACAGCCUUUUGGUAGUGAUGAAAUAAACAUAAGAUUUAUCAUUUUAAUCAUUCGUAAGUGGGAUUAAAUACAUUUACAAUAUUGUGUAACCAUCGGCACUGUCUAUAUCUAAAACUUUUUCAUCAUCUGCAAUAAAAACUCUGUAUGCAUUAAACCAUAACUCUCCAUCCUUCUGCCCCUCUUGCCGCUGGUACCCACCAUUUUGCUCUACCUCUAUGAACAAGGCCAUUUCAGACACUUCACAUAAGCAGAAUCAUACAGUAUCAGUUUUUUGGCAAUUGGCUUAUUUCACUUUACAUAAUGUCCUCGAGUUUCAUCCACAUUGCAGCACAUGACGGCACCUCAUUUCCUUUUAAAAAUUUUUUAUUUAUUUAUUUUUUAUUUAUUUAUUUUUGAGAAUGAGUUUUGCUCUUGUCACCCACCUGGAGUGCAAUGGAGCAAUCUCAGCUCACUGCAACCUCUACCUCCUGGGUUCAAGCGAUUCUCCUCCUUCAGCCUCCUGAGUAGCUGGGAUCACAGGCAUCCACCAACACACCCAGCUAAUUUUUGUAUUUUUAGUAGAGGCGGGGUUUCACCAUGUUGGCCAGGCUGGUCUUGAACUCCUGACCUCAGGCAGGUGAUCCCCCCCGCCUUGGCCUCCCAAAGUGCUGGGAUUAUAGGCGUGAGCCACUGUGCCCAGCCUUCAUUCCUUUUGAAGGCUGAGUAAUGCUCCACUGUGUGGAAGGACCACGUUUUGUGUAUCCAUUCAUCGGUCCACGACACUUGGGCUGCUUUCCCCUUUUGGCUGUUGGGGACGGUGCUGCUGUGAACGCGGGUGAACAAAUGACUCAGUCCCCACAUGCUCUUGAUGGAGCCCGGAGCCCACAGAUUCAACGGGAGGGGGAACAGCUUCCUCUCAAUGGGAGGGGGGCAAAGAAUUUGCAGUCUUUUUUCUGUUCAUUUGUUUGUUUGUAGACAGGGUCUUGCUCUGUCACCCAGGCUGGAGUGCAGUGGCACCAUCAAAGCUCACUGCAGUCUCAACCAUCUGGGCUUAAGCGAUCCUCCCACUUCAGCCUCCAGAGUAGUUGGGACUACAGGUGCAUGCCACCAAGCCUGGCUAAUUUUAAUGUUUUUGUAGCAAAGGGAUCUGGAGAUGCUGCCUAGGCUGAUCUCAAACUCCUGGACUCAAGGGAUUUUCCCACCCCGGCCUCUCAAAGUUGUUGGGAUUACAGGUGUGAGUCACCUUUAAUUCCCUGCACCGUGCUAGACAGAGAUUGCUGAAGACUGUGUUCCCGGG
rnacentral:lncRNA from 1 species